CACUGCACUCACUGUCAGCCUGGGUGAGAAGAGCAAAACUCCAUCUCAAAAAAUAAAAAUAAUUCUCCUUCCCCUUGGUGAGGAAAUGGAGAUGACACCUCUUUCUGGCCGGAUGGGAAAUGGCAGUAAAUGGUCACAGUUCCCCUUCCUCUUGGUGGCCAAGGAAGCAUUCUGAUUGGGCCUAAAGUCGAGGAAACUCCCAUUUCCAAAGUGCCUGCUGGGUCCUUGUCAGCCAAGGGAAGACCAUCACAUAUCCAUGAAGGUUCAUUUUCAGUGUCGACUUGGCCAUGGGAUGCCCAGGCAUUUGGUCAGACAUGAUUCUGGCAUGGCUGUGAGGGUGUUUCUGGAUGCAAUUUGCCUUUGAAUGGGCAGACGGAGAACAGCAGAACGUCCUCCCUGGUGUGGGUGGGCCUCGUCCAAUCAGUUGAAGGCUUGCUAGAGCAAAAAGGCUGACGCUCCCACAGGUAGAAGGACAUUACCUGCCUGACUGCUUGCGCUGGGACAUCAUUUUUUCUUGCCUUCAGACUUGCACUGAGACUUCAGCUCGUCUCACAUCUUGAGCCUGCUGGUUUUUGGACUGGAGCUACACCAUUGGCUGUCCAGGUCUUCAGCUUGCCAACUCACACUGCAGCCUCCAUCAUCAAGCUGUUCACUGGCUUUGGACGCCUCCAAUGAAGAGGUCACCAAGCUUUCCGUCAUAGAGGAGCAGCAGCAUUCAGGGAAAGGAUGGCGGAUCGCAAAACACUCCCCUUGGUGACAGGCUGAAAUGCAGAAGGACCAGUAUAGAACGCUCCUCAAGCUUUUAGAACUGAGCGUAUUUUAAGGUCAGAAUCACAACCAAGACAAAAGAAUGCAACUCUUUUCAUGUCGUAUACCUUUGGUAAAUUAAGAGCAACUGGUAAAAUAAAUACAAAUCUCAUUUGAA